rnacentral:rRNA from 1 species
AGCAGCCGCGGUAAUUCCAGCUCCAAUAGCGUAUAUUAAAGUUGUUACAGUUAAAAAGCUCGUAGUUGAAUUUCGAGACCGGUUUACUGGUCGUGCUUUUGUACGUACUGGUAUUAUUGGUUUCUCCUUUCUGACGAAUCAUAAUGCCAUUAAUUUGGUGUUUUGGGGAAUCAGGACUGUUACUUUGAAAAAAUUAGAGUGUUUAAAGCAGGCUCACGCUUGAAUACAUUAGCAUGGAAUAACGAAAUAGGACGUUCGAUUUUAUUUUGUUGGUUUCUAGGAUCGACGUAAUGAUUAAUAGGGAUAGUUGGGGGCAUUAGUAUUCAAUUGUCAGAGGUGAAAUUCUUGGAUUUAUUGAAGACUAACUACUGCGAAAGCAUUUGCCAAGGAUGUUUUCAUUAAUCAAGAACGAAAGUUAGGGGAUCGAAGACGAUCAGAUACCGUCGUAGUCUUAACCAUAAACUAUGCCGACUAG